GUACGUUCCGCCACUUCGGGCUCAUCAUUGGAUUGGUUAUCGCCGACAGCUGUUAUCGAGAGAGAUCAAAGAGAUAGCACACAGAGAUCACUCAAGCAGGCAUAUUUAUAUGGACGUAAUACAACUUAAGGCACGCGUUUUGCAGAUACAAUAAAUAACACACGAAACGAAACUGUGAAGGAACUGGAGCUGGAACUAGCGCGCGCUUUUUAAAAGUAUCGGUUCGUUAGGCUCCACAUCCAGCCGGGCAGCAGACCCAUGCCAGUGCCCGUAUUUGUGUUCGUAUUUGGAAUCUGCGGUACUGCAUUAUGGCAAUAUACAUACGUUUGAAUGGAAUUGAUCGAUUGAUCCCAACCGAAAUGAAAUGAGAGACAGAUAUCAAGUCGAAGCGGUUUUCAACGUUCAGCUUUUGGGUGUGCGCAGGAUUACGUGCUGUUUGUGACGUAACUAAAUUAAAUUUGAUCUACGAAUGAUUGCGAUUGCGAUUGCGAUACGUUAAGCAAGCGAUAGCGAUAGCGAUAACGAUAACUGAGAAUCAGUUCGAUCAACUAGCAUAAAAUACAAUUACUAUAAAUGAAGCACACAGAGCUACAAUUAAUAAAGCUUAAUUACACGCAGACACACACAUCAGAGAUGGAAGAGCAGCUUUCAUAUUGAUGAUACACACACACACACACACACACACCGUGAUUGGGAGAGGGGUAAGUCGUAAGAAGCAAAAGCAAAAGCAAAAGCAACAAAAUCAGCAGCCGGCGGCGGGUGUGGUAAAUCUUUCGAUAUGCGCGCGUUGCUUUGUUUUUGCUUUCGUUAAGUUCUUGUUCUUGUUCUUCUUGUGCUUUAGUU